CGAAAAUACAACUUUAAUAUAUCUGUCACUAUCUGAACUACACUUUACGCACUUUCUGCACGUAAAAAUGAUACGCAUAUGCGUGCAUUCAUCCUUCGGCGGGAUAAAACAAGAGCAGAAAAGAGCAGUUUCUCAAAUAGAUAUCCAUCAGCACAGUAUAUUCAAAGUUUUAAUUAUCUCUUGAGUGAUAAAUCAAUUCAUUCGAAGUUAAUUCUUCAUCGUUCUUUGACAAUGCGAUAGCGAAAUACUAAAUAAUAACACGCACUCGUUCAUCUAACAAUAAAAGUUUCCUACAUCCACACACACACGCAAAUAUUGACGAAAUCGGUCGGAUCAGCAGUAAGGAGCAUCAGCUGUGUGCGAUCCAAGUCGCCGGACAGUCGGAAGAUUUCGAUCGGUCGUCACUCGUCUUUUCGUUAACAUACGUUGCAGAUUUUUAAGUUCAGUACAUAUUCUUAGCUGAACGCAUCUGGACACAAGAACGAACAAGACAAGUGAAAAAAUCGCAG